rnacentral:rRNA from 1 species
AGCGAACGCUGGCGGCAGGCCUAACACAUGCAAGUCGAACGAACCUUCGGGUUAGUGGCGGACGGGUGAGUAACACGUGGGAACGUGCCCUUUGGUACGGAAUAACUCAGGGAAACUUGAGCUAAUACCGUAUGUGCCCUUCGGGGGAAAGAUUUAUCGCCAUUGGAGCGGCCCGCGUUGGAUCAGGUAGUUGGUGAGGUAAAGGCUCACCAAGCCUACGAUCCAUAGCUGGUCUGAGAGGAUGAUCAGCCACAUUGGGACUGAGACACGGCCCAAACUCCUACGGGAGGCAGCAGUGGGGAAUCUUGCGCAAUGGGCGAAAGCCUGACGCAGCCAUGCCGCGUGAAUGAUGAAGGUCUUAGGAUUGUAAAAUUCUUUCACCGGGGACGAUAAUGACGGUACCCGGAGAAGAAGCCCCGGCUAACUUCGUGCCAGCAGCCGCGGUAAAAC